UACGAAGGUCCCAAGCGUUAUCCGGAUUUAUUGGGUUUAAAGGGUGCGUAGGUGGGUUGGUAAGUCAGUGGUGAAAUCCCCGAGCUUAACUUGGGAACUGCCAUUGAUACUAUCAGUCUUGAAUACCGUGGAGGUCGGCGGAAUAUGUCAUGUAGCGGUGAAAUGCUUAGAUAUGACAUAGAACACCAAUUGCGAAGGCAGCUGACUACGCGAGUAUUGACACUGAGGCACGAAAGCGUGGGGAUCAAACAGG
rnacentral:rRNA from 1 species